GGAGAAAAUAAUGGCGGCAAUAAUAUUCAAUUUGAAACGUGCCCUAGUGACGUCAUCGACGCUGCCAGGCUUCAAAUUUUGCACCUCGAACUUAAGUCAUGUGGCGUGCAAAAAUUUGUAUGCCCGAAGAAGAUUUCUGCGAAAAUACUUCUGCGAUUAUUUCACUGUGUUGCGAGCGAAAAAUGUUCGAACAAAUCGAACAUUCCAUGUAUUUUCACAAAUAAGAAAAUCGGGCAACAGUGCUACACGGUCAUACCUUUCCGCAUCGUAUGACGUACUCUGAUGCACAAAUGGCCGCCACACUAAAUUGUCCUCUAUGCUGUCCUCUACCUCUCGCCUCUCCUUUACGCGCCUACAGUCUACUUCGCUUCUUAUUUUCGAGACGCCACAGACGAAAAUUUGGUUUGCAAUUUUGCAAAUACCAAUCCCAAGUUUAUGUAAAUAACUCUUUAAUGUGUAAAUUAUUUAGCGUGCUAAUUGUUUUCAAUGGAAUUUUGACCUACAUAUCUGUAGAAGAUGAGUAUUUUGCUACCAUGCAAGGAUCCAUCUUGUCUCGUCUUAAAUAUCCCAGAACUGAUCACUGACUCAUUUCUCCAGAACAUCCACAAGGCGAACGUUGUCUACACGAGCCGCUUCAACAAGUGGUAUCUCAGGACCCACUUGAAGAUUGAUGACUCAAAAUAUUUACAUGCAGUUUUACUCAAACCUAUUUAAUACAAAAUAAAGGUUGCACCUCUGAGUAUUUUCUGUCUGCUGUCCCAUCAAAUUUUUCAAUCGGCUCUGCAGUUUUUGUUUUGAAAGGUGACUCGGGGUACACUAUCUAUCUAGGCAAAUUUCGGGAUCCCCAAAAGAUCCUGCUGAAUCCCUUGAUUCAGAGAAUUUCCCAAGGAGAGGAACCUGUGGUUGUACAGGUAGUAGACCCUGCCGAUGUGUUUGGAAAUGUUAACAGCUCUAAUCCUCCGAAGGAUGAAGUCACUCCAGAGUUCCUCUCUUCAUUAAUAAGGCGAGAGCUGAAGAGGGAACCUGAACGAAUCAUCAUUGGAGCCCCAAUUUUCGGAACGCAAAAAUUACUCCUACAAUUAGCCCAAGAACUACAAAUAACUCUAAAAGUGGACAGAGUGAGGGAGACAAUUUUCUCUUUUCUGCAAUUGAAUGAGGAUUUUUACAGUGCUAAGAAAAACCCAGAUCAUAUAGAAGUAAAGGACUUGAGUAGUUUUUCAUACAACUCUCAGCAGAAGAAAGUCAUCUUCAGUCCAGGCUCCAGGUUUGAAAAUGCAGUGUACGUCAAAAUCGGAUCACUACCUUGUGAUGAAUUGACUGAAGAGAAGUUGUCACAUGGAAGUAAUAUAUUUUAUUUCCUACCAAAUGUUCACACCGUGACUCAAGAUGACUUGGGUAUAUUUCUUGAUAAGCUCAAGCCAAGAAAAAUUCUGGAUCUCCCACCAUUGUUAAUUGAAGCGUGGAAGAUUUGCAACUACAACAGAG
rnacentral:lncRNA from 1 species